AGAGUUUGAUCAUGGCUCAGAGUGAACGCUGGCGGUGUGCUUAACACAUGCAAGUCGAACGAGAACGGUCCUAGCUUGCUAGGAUGUCAGCUAAGUGGCGGACGGGUGAGUAAUGUAUAGUUAAUCUGCCCUUUAGAGAGGAAUAACUACUGGAAACGGUAGCUAAUACCUCAUACUCCUUUUGCCUUAAUGGUAAUUGGGAAACGUUUUUUCGCUAAAGGAUGAGACUAUAUGGUAUCAGGUAGUUGGUGGGGUAAGAGCCUACCAAGCCUAUGACGCCUAGCUGGUCUGAGAGGAUGAUCAGCCACACUGGAACUGAGACACGGUCCAGACUCCUACGGGAGGCAGCAGUGGGGAAUAUUGCACAAUGGACGAAAGUCUGAUGCAGCAACACCGCGUGGAGGAUGACACAUUUCGGUGCGUAAACUCCUUUUAUAUGGGAAGAUAAUGACGGUACCAUAUGAAUAAGCACCGGCUAACUCCGUGCCAGCAGCCGCGGUAGUACGGAGGGUGCAAGCGUUACUCGGAAUCACUGGGCGUAAAGCGCGCGCAGGCGGCUAUUUAAGUUGGAUGUGAAA
rnacentral:rRNA from 1 species